rnacentral:ncRNA from 1 species
UGCUGGGGGAGUCGAUUGGGAUCGACUGAGAGGAGACUGGCAGUCUCGACCCUUAAUACCUGAUCCGGAUUAUGCCGGCGUAGGGAAGUCCAUAA